rnacentral:rRNA from 1 species
CCUAUCAGCUAGUUGGUGGGGUAACGGCCUACCAAGGCAACGACGGGUAGCUGGUUUGAGAGAACGAUCAGCCACACUGGGACUGAGACACGGCCCAGACUCCUACGGGAGGCAGCAGUGGGGAAUCUUGCGCAAUGGGCGAAAGCCUGACGCAGCAACGCCGCGUGCGGGAUGACGGCCUUCGUGGUUGUAAACCGCUUUCAGCAGGGACGAAAUUGACGGUACCUGCAGAAGAAGCCCCGGCUAACUACGUGCCAGCAGCCGCGGUAAUACGUAGGGGGCAAGCGUUGUCCGGAAUCAUUGGGCGUAAAGAGCUCGUAGGCGGUUCAGUAAGUCGGGUGUGAAAGCUCCGAGCUCAACUCGGAGAGGCCACUCGAUACUGCUGUGACUAGAAUCCAGUAGGG